GGCCCCGAGAGGCGGCUCCAGCACCUGAGCAAAGAAGCGUGCGGUGGCCCGGCGUCGGGGCUUCGAUAGCCCAGCGUCUGUUUGACCCAAAUCCUGCAGCUCCGAAUCCCCAGGCGGUCGGAGAUUCCCACAAAGAGCCCCACCGGCAGAAAACACGCUUCCCGGCAACAGGAUAGAGCGCCCUAACCGAGAGCCUCUCCCUAACGGGAUCACGCUCUGCCCGAGAGAAACGCGCCAGGCCCACCUCCUGAGACACAGACCUCACCUCAGAGAGCUACGUAUCCUAACACCAACACCCAGAUUGUGGCUCACUCCCAUGACACCAACCUCAAUCAGCAGUUCAGCUCUCACCUGUCUCUGGGGCAGCACCGUGCCCUGCUGUGGUAGAAGAAGCCUUGGGAGCUAGCAUGGUCCUGUUGCUGCCAUUGACAGAAGCAAGUGAGGUCCUCAAAUGUUCGGGAGAAACACUUCAGGGGCUCUGAGUCUGAUGCCAGCAAGGAGACAUCUAAGGAACAGCUGAGAUGAGGAAACGGAGAUACAGAGAAGUUAAAGAUUUGCCCAAGAUUACAUACUAAGACAUAAAGCUCAGGAGGUCAACCUUCAGAACCCACCUGCAUAACAACCAUGCUGUGCUAUGCUCUUGGGAGGCUAAUCUGCUGAGAAAUAACUCUCUGCCCCACAACCAUGCCAAAUGGUGGGUAUUUCCACUUUAAUAGUUCUGUGACUUUGCGCAUGAAUAAACACAUUCUCCCUGGAACUGGAAAUGCCCUCUCCAUUAUGGGUGGCCUCCACGGCUGCCUCUAAUCCCUUGCUACUCAAAAUGUGGUCUGUAGACCAGGAGCAACAGCAUUAUGUGGGCACUUAUUAGAAAUGCAGAAUCUUAGGCCCCGCCCCAGGCCUAUUAAAGUUGAACCUGCAUUUUGCCAAAAUCCCCAGAUGGUUUGAAUGUAACUUAAAGUUGGAGAAGCAAUGGUCUUCAGUACUUUUAUCCUGUUUGCUCAGAUUGGAGAUGGCUCACACUCCUUACCCUGCCCCCUUGUCUUGUAUCCAAUAAAUAACUGCGCAGCCUGGCAUUCGGGGACACUACUGGUUUCCGCGUCUUGGUGGUAGUGGUCCCCUGGACCCAGCUGUCUUUUCUUUUA